rnacentral:rRNA from 1 species
GNCGUCANGUNCUAUGGCCCUUAUAGGUGGGGCUACACACGUCAUACAAUGGCUGGUACAGAGGGUUGCCAACCCGCGAGGGGGAGCUAAUCCCAUAAAACCAGUCGUAGUCCGGAUCGCAGUCUGCAACUCGACUGCGUGAAGUCGGAAUCGCUAGUAAUCGCGGAUCAGCAUGCCGCGGUGAAUACGUUCCCGGGUCUUGUACACACCGCCCGUCACACCAUGGGAGCGGGUCUCGCCAGAAGUAGGUAGCCUAACCGCAAGGAGGGCGCUUACCACGGCGGGGUUCGUGACUGGGGUGAAGUCGUAACAAGGUAGCCGUAUCGGAAGGUGCGGUUGGAUCANCACCCNAA